AUAUAUCUCAUUUAAUUAAAAUGAAAUACUAAACAGUUAUUUUAAAUUAGAAUUAUGAAGUAAAGUAAUGAUUUCUUACAUUGGCAUAAAGCAUUGAAAAAUAAAAUAAUAGAAACAUAAGUGAUUAUGGAAUUGCUGCAUCUCUCAGAGACUGAGAACAGCAGGUACCAACUACAAAUGAAAAAACGGCAGGCACCAACAGGAAAAUAUUUAGCAUUGUAUAUUUUAUAUAUAGAGAGAUAGAUACAGGCAGGUAGGUAUGUCUUUACUUAUAUAUCUGUUGAACACACACACACAGACAUAUAUAUAUAUAUUUAUGUAAGUAUGCUGUAUUCAUGUUCAACAGAUACACAUUUGCACAAGCAUAUUCUCUUUACAGUAGUUACAGCAUGGAAGCUGUAGAAUGUUAUAUAGUCUCCUCUGUGAGAGAAAGAAAAAUUCAUUAUUUGUAUAGAUGUUAAAGGGUGAUAAAAACCGAAGAAUUGAAUUUUAGAAGCAAAAAAAAUCAACAAACCAAACAGAAAAUGGUGAAUAUGAUUUUUCUUGCUGUAAUUUAUUGAGAUCAAGAAAAUGAACAAAAUUAAUGAAGCACAAAAAUUGAAACUUUCCAGGAGUUUUGUUUUCCUUUCAAAUAGUAGUUUCUAUUUUCUGUUUGUGUCUAGUUUUCAUCUUUUUGUUUUAGAGGAUUAUUUUUACUGUCCAUCAAAUAUAACAAGCUGUCAAUUAGUGACAUCUUGCAUUUUCCUUUAGCUUUUGUUUUAUUAUAUUUUUAAUUCCAAAUUAUACACCUUCUGACUUUUUAACUUUUCAUAGUAUUGUCAUUAUAUUAAAAGAUUAUGGAAACACUCACUUGAUUUUACACCUAUUUUUAUUUUAUUUACACAAAAAAAAUCUAAAAUGGAUCUGUGCAUCCUUUUAUUAAAAAUAAAAAAAACUUUAUACCUCAAGCAUAUAAUGAACUAAUUUUAUUUUAAAUAAAAAAAAAUGUUCUUCCGUAAUACUAUCUCAGUCAAUCUAAUGUUACUUCCUUUGUGUUAUAUUGAUUUUACUCUAUCACUUUACUUUCAUUCAUGAUAUUUUGACUCUUCAUCUAUUAUGACAAAUAUGGAAGCUUUUUGCUAGAACCAAAUUUUUAUUAGACAGAAAUCAUUUAUUUUCAUCAUGAAUAUUACUGUUAAAAUAAACUUCUGUCACAUCUAU